GAGACUAGCUGCACAAGUGAAUGGAGCAUGGCUGAACUCCUGAACACUGUGGCACAGACUGACUCAAGCUUCCAAGGCUCUCUGAAAUGACAAUGACAGCUGACCAGAGUGAAGCAGUAGACAUAAUCUACUUGGAUUUCAAGAAGCUGUUUGCUACAGUGCAGCAUCAAAGACCAGUGUAUAAGCUCUUAAGUGCAUGCAUCUGGAGGG